GAGUGACAGUGAUUAGAUAUUUUAUUAUUUCAAAUCUCCUCAAUUUUACUUCAUUACACCAUGUUGACAAGAUUAUAAUUUAAGUCUCUAAAAAAACUCCAGGUCCAGAGACGGUCUUACAAACCAAUAUUUUAAAUUCUUUGAAGAUGAACUUCUUCAGCCACUAAACGAUACAAUGAACGAUAUUACACGAAGGAAGAAUACCUCAAACCUGGAAAGUAGCCAAUAUUGCAUUGCUACCGAAGGAAGGAGAACACAAUGGAGACACAGUGGGAGAAAGAUCUGAAAUGGCUUCCCAUGGCAGUUUUAUUGACUAGAAAAACAAAAAGCUUCAAAAAGGUUUUUCAU